rnacentral:misc_RNA from 1 species
GAAAUGCGAUAAGUAGUGUGAAUUGCAGAAUUCAGUGAAUCAUCGAAUCUUUGAACGCACAUUGCGCCCCUUGGUAUUCCAUGGGGCAUGCCUGUUCGAGCGUCAUUUGUACCCUCAAGCUCUGCUUGGUGUUGGGUGUUUGUCCCCGUCUCCGCGCGUGGACUCGCCCCAAAUUGAUUGGCAGCCGGCGUACUGGUCCCGGAGCGCAGCACAUGUCGCGCAAACGAGUGCCUUGGUACGGCGGCGUCCAUAAGCCCCUCUCUCACGCUCUUGACCUCGGAUCAGGUAGGGAUACCCGCUGAACUUAAGC